rnacentral:tRNA from 1 species
GGGGAGGUUCCCGAGCGGCCAAAGGGAACAGACUGUAAAUCUGUUGGCAUUAGUCUUCGAAGGUUCGAAUCCUUCCCUCCCCA